rnacentral:rRNA from 1 species
AUACGUAGGAGGCAAGCGUUGUCCGGAAUUAUUGGGCGUAAAGCGCAUGUAGGCGGUAAUUUAAGUCUGUCGUGAAACUGCGGGGCUCAGCCCCGUAUGGCGAUUGAAACUGGGUUACUUGAGUGCAGGAGAGGAAAGGGGAACUCCCAGUGUAGCGGUGAAAUGCGUAGAUAUUGGGAAGAACACCGGUGGCGAAGGCGCCUUUCUGGACUGUGUCUGACGCUGAGAUGCGAAAGCCAGGGUAGCGAACGGGAUUAGAUACCCCGGUAUUCCUGGCCGUAAACGAUGGGUACUAGGUGUGGGAGGGAUCGACCCCUUCCGUGCCGGAGUUAACGCAAUAAGUACCCCGCCUGG